rnacentral:rRNA from 1 species
ACGGCUGAGGAACACGUGGGUAUCUGCCCUGCAGUGGGGGACAACGAGCCGAAAGGUUCGCUAAACCCGCAUACGCUCUCUUCGGAGAGGAAAGCGGUGACGCGCUGGAGGAGGAGCCUGCGGCCCAUCAGGUAGUUGGCGGGGUAAUAGCCCACCAAGCCGGUGACGGGUCCCUGGUCUGAGAGGACGACCAGGCAGACUGGAACUGAGACACGGCCCAGACUCCUACGGGAGGCAGCAGCAAGGAAUUUUCGGCAAUGGGCGCAAGCCUGACCGAGCAACGUCGCGUGGAGGAUGACGGCCUUCGGGUUGUAAACUCCUUUUGCGAGGGACGAUGAUGACGGUACCUCGCGAAUAAGCCCCGGCUAACUCCGUGCCAGCAGCCGCGGUAAGACGGAGGGGGCAAGCGUUGUCCGGACUCACUGGGCGUAAAGGGUGCGUAGGCGGUCGGGAACGUCCGCGCUGAAAUCUGUCGGCUCAACCGGCAGGCGCGUGUGGAUACGGCUCGACUCGAGGCUCUGAGAGGGUGGCGGAACUCCUGGUGUAGUGGUGAAAUGCGUAGA